AACGCUAGCUACAGGCUUAACACAUGCAAGUCGAGGGGCAGCAUGGUCUUAGCUUGCUAAGGCCGAUGGCGACCGGCGCACGGGUGAGUAACACGUAUCCAACCUGCCGUCUACUCUUGGACAGCCUUCUGAAAGGAAGAUUAAUACAAGAUGGCAUCAUGAGUCCGCAUGUUCACAUGAUUAAAGGUAUUCCGGUAGACGAUGGGGAUGCGUUCCAUUAGAUAGUAGGCGGGGUAACGGCCCACCUAGUCUUCGAUGGAUAGGGGUUCUGAGAGGAAGGCCCCCCACAUUGGAACUGAGACACGGUCCAAACUCCUACGGGAGGCAGCAGUGAGGAAUAUUGGUCAAUGGGCGAGAGCCUGAACCAGCCAAGUAGCGUGAAGGAUGACUGCCCUAUGGGUUGUAAACUUCUUUUAUAAAGGAAUAAAGUCGGGUAUGGAUACCCGUUUGCAUGUACUUUAUGAAUAAGGAUCGGCUAACUCCGUGCCAGCAGCCGCGGUAAUACGGAGGAUCCGAGCGUUAUCCGGAUUUAUUGGGUUUAAAGGGAGCGUAGAUGGAUGUUUAAGUCAGUUGUGAAAGUUUGCGGCUCAACCGUAAAAUUGCAGUUGAUACUGGAUAUCUUGAGUGCAGUUGAGGCAGGCGGAAUUCGUGGUGUAGCAGUGAAAUGCUUAGAUAUCACGAAGAACUCCGAUUG
rnacentral:rRNA from 1 species